AUGUUACUCCUUGUUUUGGCAUUUAUUGUUGUUGCUCACACUGCAGAUGCUGCUGACAGCAUUGAACCAGACCAACCCAACUUAUCUUCAACAGAAGGAAGCAGCAUCACACUGUCUUGCACAUAUACAGGAUCACCAUAUAAUCUCCACUGGUAUCAUCAAAAACCUGGAUCAAAACCAGAGUUUCUGGGGCUGAUUAUGAGAUCCACAAAACAGACCACAUAUGCUAAACCAGCUGACCAACGUCUGUCUAUAAAUCUUAAUACAGAAGAUAAGAAAGUCGAGCUGAAGAUCUCCUCUGCUGCUGUAACAGAUUCUGCACUGUCUUACUGCGCCAUGGUGCCCACAGUAACAGCAACUCCAGUGAUGCUGCACAAAAACUCUUUCAUGUGA